rnacentral:rRNA from 1 species
GCGCACGCUGGCGGCAGGCCUCACCCAUGCAAGUCGCACGGAUCCUUCGGGAUUAGUGGCGGACGGGUGAGUAACACGUGGGAACGUGCCCUUUGGUUCGGAACAACUCAGGGAAACUUGAGCUAAUACCGGAUGUGCCCUUCGGGGGAAAGAUUUAUCGCCAUUGGAGCGGCCCGCGUCUGAUUAGCUAGUUGGUGAGGUAACGGCCCACCAAGGCGACGAUCAGUAGCUGGUCUGAGAGGAUGAUCAGCCACACUGGGACUGAGACACGGCCCAGACUCCUACGGGAGGCAGCAGUGGGGAAUCUUGCGCAAUGGGCGAAAGCCUGACGCAGCCAUGCCGCGUGAAUGAUGAAGGUCUUAGGAUUGUAAAAUUCUUUCAGCGGGGACGAUAAUGACGGUACCCGCAGAAGAAGCUCCGGCUAACUUCGUG